GAGGCGGGACCAAGGUGGCAGAGAAGCCCGGAGUUGGGUAAACAGGACGACCAGCCUCUCACCCGGUUCUGCACAGUGUCCUCGGGAGCCGCCGCGAGUCGCGUCCGCCGCCGGAGGCAGAGCGGUGGGGCAGGAGGCGGGGAGGACUGGUUUCUCCGCGCCGGAACUCCCGCCAUGACAGAGGACAGCUUUUCUAUCGUGUCACUCCGCGUAUAACCUCCGGCCGCUAAGGCAGCCAUCAUGCUGUCGGAGACCAGCGUCCGUUACGCUUCUUAACAGCCGCCUGUAGCCAGCACCCACUCGAAUAGCGAAUGGCCGCGGGAAAGCCGGCGCCGCCGCCCAUUGGACGCAGCCGGCACCCCGGCUGGCCAAUCACAAAGCUUCCGGACACACAGCUUUUAACUUUGAUGGAGCUAAGACCUCAUCCUGUCUUUUGCCACAGUCCCGGGAAGUUAUUCAAGCUGUACCAGUCUCACGGAUAUAGGGAACCAAGAACCAGGAACACCAAGAAGCCCGAGGCACUACCAUUUCCUCCUGGACAGGAAGUUUCCCCUUAGCCCCUGGAGCCCAGCCACACAGCCUCUGGCUCAGUAUAUUUCGCGGUGCUGGGACCUCUAUCUCUGGGGAGACCCUGAGGCAGCAGCCGCCAUUGUCCUUCCUACUUGCUUCCACAGUGCCAGGGCUUGGAGCCCCUGACCAGCACCAAGCUACUCUUGGGGUGCCGAAACAGCAAGUUCACAGGUUCAGAGACACCAAGAGCAGCACCGGGCACAGCUGUGAGCUUUGGAACAGCUGGUGUGGCAGCUGCACUGGGAGAGCCUGCUGGCCUGUGCACACAAGCGUCCAUUGUACUGUCUGAGAACCUCUGGGACUGGCAACCAGGACACUGGCUCCACCUGCAGGGUCUCUGCUUUAAACCAGGGUCCAGUGUUAAAGAGCCUUCAGUAUCUGUGGGGGUGUAGGAGUGGGCUUGCAGCAGAGGGCUUGCCUAUAAGAGCCAAACCACCCCCCUUCCCCGAGUUCCAUCCAGCACCCGCCAACCACAAUAGGCCUGUAAUCCUACCAAGAGGAAGGCAGGGGCAAGAGAAUGACAGCAAGUUCAAGGCUAGCUUAGGCUAUUUGCAACCGUGUCACAACCGAGCAGGCCUGCUGACACCUGCUGUGGGUGACACAGCCUCCAACC